rnacentral:rRNA from 1 species
AGCGAACGCUGGCGGCAGGCUUAACACAUGCAAGUCGAGCGGGCAUCCUUGUGGUGUCCGCGGCAGACGGGUGAGUAACGCGUGGGAACGUGCCCUUCGGUUCGGAAUAACUCAGGGAAACUUGAGCUAAUACCGGAUACGUGCUAGAGCAGAAAGGUUUAUCUGCCGAAGGAUCGGCCCGCGUCUGAUUAGCUAGUUGGUGAGGUUAUGGCUCACCAAGGCGACGAUCAGUAGCUGGUCUGAGAGGCUGAUCAGCCACACUGGGACUGAGACACGGCCCAGACUCCUACGGGAGGCAGCAGUGGGGAAUAUUGGACAAUGGGGGCAACCCUGAUCCAGCCAUGACGCGUGAGUGAUGACGGCCUUAGGGUUGUAAAGCUCUUUUCUCCGGGACGAUAAUGACGGUACCGGAGGAAUAAGCCCCGGCUAACUUCGUG